AGUGAACGCUGGCGGUAGGCCUAACACAUGCAAGUCGAACGGCAGCACAGGAGAGCUUGCUCUCUGGGUGGCGAGUGGCGGACGGGUGAGGAAUACAUCGGAAUCUACUUUUUCGUGGGGGAUAACGUAGGGAAACUUACGCUAAUACCGCAUACGACCUACGGGUGAAAGCAGGGGAUCUUCGGACCUUGCGCGAUUGAAUGAGCCGAUGUCGGAUUAGCUAGUUGGCGGGGUAAAGGCCCACCAAGGCGACGAUCCGUAGCUGGUCUGGGAGGAUGAUCAGCAACACUGGAACUGAGACACGGUCCAGACUCCUACGGGAGGAAGCAGUGGGGAAUAUUGGACAAUGGGCGCAAGCCUGAUCCAGCCAUACCGCGUGGGUGAAGAAGGCCUUCGGGUUGUAAAGCCCUUUUGUUGGGAAAGAAAUCCAGCUGGUUAAUACCCGGUUGGGAUGACGGUACCCAAAGAAUAAGCACCGGCUAACUUUGUGCCAGCAGCCGCCGUAA
rnacentral:rRNA from 1 species